rnacentral:rRNA from 1 species
CACGUAGUUAGCCGUGGCUUAUUCCUAUAGUACCGUCACUUCUUCGUCCUAUAGAAAAGAAGUUUACAACCCGAAGGCCUUCUUCCUUCACGCGGUCGUUGCUGGGUCAGGCUUGCGCCCAUUGCCCAAUAUUCCCCACUGCUUGCCUCCCGUAGGAGUCUGGGCCGUGUCUCAGUCCCAAUGUGGCCGGCCAACCUCUCAGUCCGGCUACUGAUCGUCGCCUUGGUGGGCCGUUACCCCGCCAACCAGCUAAUCAGACGCGAGUCCAUCUCAGAGCGAUAAAUCUUUGAUGUCCAGAACCAUGCGAUUCAGACAUUUCAUGCGGUAUUAGCACAUCUUUCGAUGUGUUAUUCCCCUCUCCAAGGCAGGUUACUCACGCGUUACUCACCCGUCCGCCACUUUCCUCCAGUUCCCGUUGGCCGAAGCCUCCUUCCCCGGAUUCUCGUUCGACUUGCAUGUGUUAAGCACGCCGCCAGCGUUCAUCCUGAGCCCUAGGAUCGAAACUCUACUACGG